rnacentral:rRNA from 1 species
ACCUGCCCUAUGAUUAAAAAUUAAAUGGCUGCGGUAUUUUGACCGUGCAAAGGUAGCAUAAUCAUUAGUUUUUUAAUUGGGAACUGGUAUGAAAGGUCGAACGAAAAAGAGACUGUCUCAAUUUAAUUUAAAUUAGAAUUUUAUUUUUAAGUAAAAAAGCUUAAAUAUAUUUAAAAGACGAGAAGACCCUAUAGAGUUUUAUACCUAGGUAUUUAUACAGGAAAUUAAAGGAUUGUUUUUUUUUUAUAAUUAUUGAAGUAUUUGGUUGGGGCGAUUAAAAAAUUUAAUAAACUUUUUUUAAAUUAUAACAUUGAUUUAUGAAUAAGUGAUCCAUAUUUAAUGAUUAGAAGAUUA